rnacentral:misc_RNA from 1 species
GAACUGAGCGAGCGUCUUGACUCGCUUCUGCAUCGUCGAGCCGCGCACGAGCACACCUAUAUCGACUUGUAGCUCCUCUCUCAUCCGUCUCCGUUUCGACCGGUUUCACUGCCGAGGGGGAGGGGUAGAACUUCGUGCCCUGCGUCACCGUCGGAUGCAUCGCUUUCGCAGGUUUGCCCCGGUGCACGCAUGGACAGCAGUGCGCUGCGUCUUUCAGAGUAAGGAGUUUCUGGCGGCGUCCAAGGAGCUGCCCACGACCCCGGAGGGGCGCAACCCAUACGAUGUCCUCGAAGUCACUGUCACCCGCGCUACGACACUUGACGAGGUGUCAAAGCAGUUCCGCAGCCUUGUCGUCAAGUACCACCCCGACAAGCCAGGCGGCUCCACCGAGAAGAUGGCCGAGGUGAACUUGGCCUACAAGAUUGUCAAGGAGAACCAUGAUGCGAUGCUGCGCCGGAUGAAGGAGGCAGAGUCAACGAUCAAGGCGAACGAAGCAUACCGUCAGCACAAGCACGCGCGCGCCAGCCGUGACGAGGAUCUUGGUCGCUCCGGCGGGCUUAACCGCCGCAAUUCGCGCGCCACGCGAGAAGCGGCCGAGCCCACGGGCUUGCGUCGCACCCGCUCACUGAAAGAGAUCGAGGCUCAGUGGGCCAAGUACAAAGAGGACACCGAAGCAGCGGUAAGGAGCAUGUGCAACCGCUACGAGCUGGCCAUUCAGCAGGGAAAGUUCUUUCGCAAGUCGGCGACGUUGAACGAGAUCACGGUACGCGAACGAUGGCUGCGCAAGUCGUUUGCGAAGGGUGUCUGGGAGGAUGUACAUGAGCUUCGUGGGGAGUUGCUUCGUCGAGGUACCCGCAGCGCUCAGCAGUCCGAGCUAGCAGAGGAAAUGGUCAGCUUUGCCUCCACGACGCAGCGGAAGCUGAAUGAGAAUUUUCAGCGACUGACACAAGAGAGUGUGCAGUUGCAGUCCCGCAUGUUAGUCGAGCGCGUCUUCUUCAUGGUGUGCUCGGUAAUCUUGCUGGUGAAGGUGUGGAGGUGGUUUGUUGGCUUUACCUUCAACAACACGCUCACCGUGAAGCUCAAGCGUGGUUUCCUCUCACAGUAACAGCGUUGCGUUGCGCGCCUCUGUGCGACGCAUCGUGGCAGUCUUCCUCUUGUUUUCUUCGACGCGCGUGUAAGGGGGAGGGGGUGCAACAAUCGAGGUGUAGCUGUUCUUCGUGUGCCCGGACUGGUUGGCGCAGAUUCCUUCUGUUUUCCUUUCUGCGUUUGCAUCCGCUGUUUCUUGAUUUGCGGCAAGCGUGCGUGUGAGGGGGGUUUGUGUGUCGCCGCCUCCACUGUCACAUGAUUACUAAAACCCCCAUAGCUGUUCGGCCUUUGUGCCUGUACUAGCUGGCAUGCGAAGACACGUACACGCCCGUGCGAGGUGUGCGUGUGUGCGUGUGCGGUACCCUACGAAUACCUGGGUGCAAAACUCAUGGAAAGUUGACAUGUGAAGGGCGCGGGGUGGCGUGAGGGAUGGGGCGAAGAGAAGAGAAUGUGGUGAGACUCCUCAGCGUCGUCGUUGCUCGGUCUGCGUGGACGCACGAAGACUGCUUGGGUGAGUCGCUUGCUUAUCUCUGUCUCUCUCCUUCCAUUUGUGUCCUCGUUUUAAUCUCGCUGGGCUCCCUCGUUGCAGGGAGGGCCGUGGAAACUCGUGAUUCUCGCCGGUUUAACUGAGCUGAUGCAGCUGUGCUUUGGCGCGGUGAUUCGCGCAUUUCUCCAAGCCACCUUGCUCGCACUCCCUGCCUGGCCUCUGUCACCGCCACCGCUCGUCUCUCUCCUUCUCAUCAUGUCGCUGCUCAUCACCAUGACACCUCGCCUGUCGCUCACAG